CAGCUGAAUAUCAUUUUGGAUACUUAAGAGAACAAAAAAAACCCAUUUCAUUUUUCCCAGAAAAAGUUUCGUGGACUGCUCGGCGCCUCUGGAAAGCCCAGCUCCCUUGUGGUGAGCAGACUUUCCAGAGGGAGAGGAGGGUAGCCUCUCUUGCCCAGAGAGAGGUCCUUUUCCGGUGAGGAGACCUGCCUGCCUGGACCCAGCCUGCUUCAGCCUCCAUUUCGGGUGAGUAUCUCUGCUCUCGGUGGAGCAGAAGCUCAAAAACAGACUCUGCCGUGAGUUCUGUUCCUUUUUGGCUGUGCAGCCCCACAGAUGGGAAUUCAUAGCGUUCUAGGCUUUUAGCUUUCUGCCGCGUGUUUAGCUGUCUUUUGGAAUCCGCGCCGGCGGUGCGGGAGUGCUCUUUGCCCUUCCCCCUGGCUCAGCAGCGCAGCGUGUUCAGCUCGCCACGGCGCGGGGGAGGGGACUCCGCUCUCUCUCCCUCUGCGCGGGGGAGUCCGGUUUCGACUUGCCACGUGGACGGGGGGAAUCUCUCUCGGUGCGGGGGAGGGGGGUGCUCUUUGCACACGCGGCGUGAGGGGCCCCGGUUUCGGCUCGCCACGUGGUGUGGGGGAGGCUGCUCUCUCUCUCAGCUCCGCAGGGGGAGCUGCAUUCCACCGCAGGGGAGGCUUUGUGUCUGCCUCAGCUCGGCAGGGCGUGCCCUGCCGCUGCUGCCCGGGAAUUUUAAAAGCACUUUAUACAGCUGCACUGUGAAGGUUUUGUCUGUUCGUUAUCGCCUUUCUAUCUGUGGUUUUUUUUUUAGAAAUUGGUAGCUGAUUUUAGCUUUGCUUUUGGUCAGGCGGGAUUAAGUACUUUGCUUUUUACAUCUAACAUGGGUUCCAAACUUAGCAUUGUACAAAGGGGAGNCUGAGGUAAACGGAGUCCUGACAAGCCUGGACUUGCCCCGCUGCACUCUCCAGCAGCCAAGGUAUCUCUGGGGUAAAGCACCACAGUGCUGCCUUUGGCCCAGCAGCGAGGGUCAGAACUGGCCCAGGCACCAUCUAACUGGUUAUAUUGGGAUUCAUAUUCCCAUACAGCUCCUCAGACAAGUCCCUGCAUCCUGUGUCUCCUGCAGAAGCUGCUGGAUAUCCUGCACCAGCAAAGACCCACAUCAGAAGCCACCUUCCAGAAAGUUGACGGUGUGUGAGCUACAUGCUAUGUAGCAAUCUGUGGCAGAGUACAACCCCACCUGAUGUACACGUCACAUAAGCACUCCGAAAGGUGAGGUUAUAAUUCUAGAGGCCUGUAUUUCUAGAAUUCUAUGUCUACAGAUAUUUAGGUAUUGAUAUUUGUGGAGUUAUAUGCUGGUUUUUUACCUCUUUCCCCACUCUGCUGCCUCUGUCCCCUCUUGUUAUGGUGGGGGUCUGGGCUGGCAGGCAGGCCGGGCUGAGCAGUAGUUUCAGCCCCAGGUCCCUGCUACCCAUACGUGACAGGAGUGGAAGGAACCACCAGAGGCACCAGGCACCGACUCCCUGGGGAGUAUCUGGGCUCAAGCCACCAGGGAGCUGCUAAAGGACCAGUACAGCUAAGGAUAACAAGGUUGUCACAGGGGACACCAUGACUGAAGGCAUGGUGCUGCUGUGGGUGGUGAUGGUGGCACUGAGAGUAUGGUAUGGCUGUGGAGGCUGAGAGGAAGCAGUGAAACUGAGGGGUCUGGGAGAGCUGAUGGUGAUGGCAGUGACUGAGGAGGAAGAAAUGGCCUGGGCUGAGAGAGGUGGUGGGGCUCCGGGCACUGGGGACACUGAGGGGGAUGGCAGCACUGUGGGGGAGGAUGGGCUUGGAGGGUCUGAAGGGACUGGGGGAACUGCAUGUGUGCUGAGACUCUGGCGAGGCUAAGGGGAUGGUGGAGAUGACUCAGUACUUCCUUUGUUUCCUAAAUCUCUGUCUGCUGUUUCCAGAAGGACUGUUCUGGAAAGGAGGAAGCAACUGAGGGGAAUCAUAGGGAAAUGUGCCAGCUGGGUUCUGUCUAUAUCUUGUUCUCUCCAUAUCUAUAUUCAUCUAAGUUUCUGUCUAUAUAUACCUAUGUUUCUCUAUGUCAAGAGUUGUAUUUCAAAUUAUGCACCAUUAUAUACACUUAGUUACAGUAUACAGAGAUUUAGAUAGGUACUUUAGUAUUUGCGUAUUUAUGUACAAGCUCACCAUGUAAACUGUUAUAUUUACACAGAUGUCAAUAUAUUUACAUAAAUUGUUAUGCUUAUAUAUACAUAUGGAGUUCUAUGUAAAGCUGUGUAGAGUUGUACAGUUUAAUGUUGAAGUCAGGUAGAAAAAUGAUGAAGAAAAGCCUCAUAAAAUCAGGCCUGCUCUGCUAGAUCGAUGGCUGGCCUGUCAUUUCUUCUAAGCGCACCCAGUACUUUGCAAGUUCCCAUGCGAAAAUAAUCUUGGUAUGAAUAGUUCAUUAACAAUCUAUUCCUGGGUGAAUAGUUCAAUAAUGAUCUAUUCCUGGGUGAAAAAACAACUAGCACCUGCAUUAACAUUAAAUUUAUCCCAGAGAGUUAGUGAAGAAAAUAUAUAAACAAUUUAAAAAUAGAGAGACUUGAUGGACAAGUAAAAUACCUUUUACUAACCAGUAGAGUAAUAGUCGAGAAAGCUAUUAUCAAUUAAAGUUGUACACAAGGUCUGUAAAAACUGCAUAAAAAUGUGUUGUGUGAAUGAAGAAUGGGCUUUUUUCCUGCAUUUAAAAAAACAUGGAGUAUUGAGGUGGCUGCUGGAACCCAGGCUAGCUCUUAGAACUCCAGCGCCAGAAAUGGGAACUGCCUCAGUAUGAGGAUAUACCAGAGGCAGAACCUUUAGAGCCACUUGCUCUAAAGUGCCAGACACAAGCCAUGACAGAAACCAGGCAGAGGAGAAAGGAAGAGGCUCCCUGUCUUGAGGUUCCACAAGGAGCAUUUAAUCGAGGUGAAAGGAGAAGGAGAAAAACCCCCAAAUUGUAUUCCCAAGGGGUUUUGUACAGAUACAAGUCAGGGGGGUGGAUACAAACAGCUAACCAAUAGGGAAUCCUCAGGGGAGGAAUGAGCGUCUGGGGCCAAUUGGGAUAGGGGGGUGGAGUGGAUGGGUCACAUGGGUCAACGGGGCUUCGAGGAGUAGGGGGAUUUCAGAGGGGUGUUGUAUACAGGGAUUGGCCCGAGGUUUAAGUCGCAGAGAAGGUUUGGGAGUCAAGGGCUGGGUUGCCUUGACAGGCAGGGAAAGAGCUGGAACAAGAGGCAGGGAAUGGCAUGAGGGACAGCUUUGAGGGAGGGUAAAACCCAAAGGUAAACCAUGAACCACUUAAACAGGAAUCAAUAAAAUAAAUUCAAACCACUACA
ensembl:lncRNA